CAAAUUUCUGCCCUAUCAACUUUCGAUGGUAGGAUAGUGGCCUACCAUGGUUUCAGACGGGUAACGGGGAAUUAGGGUUCUAUUCCGGAGAGGGAGCCUGAGAAACGGCUACCACAUCCAAGGAAGGCAGCAGGCGCGCAAAUUACCCAAUCCCGAUACGGGGAGGUAGUGACAAUAAAUACUGAUACAGGGCUCUUUUGGGUCUUGUAAUUGGAAUGAGUACAAUUUAAAUCCCCUUAACGAGGAACAAUUGGAGGGCAAGUCUGGUGCCAGCAGCCGCGGUAAUUCCAGCUCCAAUAGCGUAUAUUAAAGUUGUUGCAGUUAAAAAGCUCGUAGUUGAACCUUGGGGCCUGGCUGGCCGGUCCGCCUCAAUCGAGUGCACUGGUCCGGCCGGGUCUUUCCUUCUGGGGAGCCGUAUGCCCUUCACUGGGUGUGUCGGGGAAACCAGGACUUUUACUUUGAAAAAAAUUAGAGUGUUCAAGCAGGCCUAUGCUGCGAAUACAUUAGCAUGGGAAUAAAUAGAAUAGGACGUGUGGGUC
rnacentral:rRNA from 1 species